rnacentral:misc_RNA from 1 species
UUGAAUAAAAUUGUUUGAGUUGUUGCUGACUCUUUGGAGUAUAUGUGCACGCUCACAUCAUUUUUAACCACCUGUGCACCAUUUGUAGACUGUAAAUGCUUGAGGACCCCAAACUCUGAAUGUUAGUGUCGUCUGAGUACUAUAUAAUAGUUA